rnacentral:rRNA from 1 species
CCUACGGGCGGCAGCAGUGGGGAAUAUUGGACAAUGGGCGAAAGCCUGAUCCAGCCAUGCCGCGUGUGUGAAGAAGGCCUUCGGGUUGUAAAGCACUUUCAGUGGGGAAGAAAGCCUUGGGGCUAAUACCCUCGAGGAAGGACAUCACCAACAGAAGAAGCACCGGCUAACUCCGUGCCAGCAGCCGCGGUAAUACGGAGGGUGCGAGCGUUAAUCGGAAUUACUGGGCGUAAAGCGCGCGUAGGCGGUCUGAUAAGCCGGUUGUGAAAGCCCCGGGCUCAACCUGGGAACGGCAUCCGGAACUGUCAGGCUAGAGUGCAGGAGAGGAAGGUAGAAUUCCCGGUGUAGCGGUGAAAUGCGUAGAGAUCGGGAGGAAUACCAGUGGCGAAGGCGGCCUUCUGGACUGACACUGACGCUGAGGUGCGAAAGCGUGGGUAGCAAACAGGAUUAGAUACCCCAGUAGUC